AGAGUUUGAUCCUGGCUCAGGACGAACGCUGGCGGCGUGCCUAACACAUGCAAGUCGAACGGGACCAGGGGCAACUCUGGUUCAGUGGCGGACGGGUGCGUAACACGUGAGGAACAUGACCUUCGGCGGGGGAUAGCCGGCCCAACGGCCGGGUAAUACCGCGUACGACCUUUCGGGGACAUCCCUGGAUGGUGAAAGCAGCAAUGCGCCGAUGGAGUGCCUCGCGGCCUAUCAGCUAGUUGGUGGGGUAACGGCUCACCAAGGCAACGACGGGUAGCUGGUCUGAGAGGAUGGCCAGCCACAUUGGGACUGAGACACGGCCCAGACUCCUACGGGAGGCAGCAGUGGGGAAUAUUGCGCAAUGGACGAAAGUCUGACGCAGCGACGCCGCGUGUGGGAUGACGGUCUUCGGAUUGUAAACCACUGUCGGGAGGGACGAAUACGCCGCAAGGCGGGUGACGGUACCUCCAAAGGAAGCACCGGCUAACUCCGUGCCAGCAGCCGCGGUAAUACGGAGGGUGCGAGCGUUGUCCGGAAUCACUGGGCGUAAAGGGCGCGUAGGCGGCCUGAUAAGUAGGGGGUGAAAUCCUGCGGCUUAACCGCAGGGCUGCCUUCUAAACUGUCAGGCUUGAGCACAGUAGAGGCAGGUGGAAUUCCCGGUGUAGCGGUGGAAUGCGUAGAGAUCGGGAAGAACAUCAGUGGCGAAGGCGGCCUGCUGGGCUGUUGCUGACGCUGAGGCGCGACAGCGUGGGGAGCAAACAGGAUUAGAUACCCCCGUAGUCC
rnacentral:rRNA from 1 species